rnacentral:piRNA from 1 species
UAACAUGUAUGAUGGUAACGUCUUCGCUCA